UUUAUUUUUUUGGAGUGGGUUGGAGUUUUUCUUCUUAUGUAUUUUAGGUCCAGGGUGAGGACAAUGUUCAAGCUUUUUUAGAAUUAGUUAUUUAUAAUUGGAAGUUUGCUGUCGGAAACAAUCUAAUUGGCUAUCUUAUUAAUAUUUAUAAAGGAAAGAAGUUUUUUUUUUAUUUUUUAAGUAGUUAUGACUGAAUUUUUGAGUUGUAGAGUUGUAUAGAGACCUCGUUGGCAGAUAGCAAAUGCUACGAGCAGCAGAAUCCCAAUGGCGAGGGUGAAUGUGGAAGCUGACUUGGUUAAAUUAGUUCCUUGCCAGGUCUCCACUGAAGUGGAUGCUUGUCUGGGUUACGAUACACAUGGUAUCAUUCCAGAAGUACAGCUUGUGAUGUGAGACUAAAAGAGGUUUUCAAUAUCUGUGGGACCUGGUGAUAAAGAGCUUUUGGCUCCUUGUUGGAAGGGUAUGUGAACCAAGCACAGCGCUUGGAGGAGCUUCUUGGGAAGAUAUGGCUGCCCCCUUACGUGUUCCUUCUCUUCUACGGAAGCUCUGAGAUAUUAGUGGAAAGAAUAAAGUGGCUUGGCCUGUUAAGAUGGAACUUGCCUGGAGCUGCUCUGCAUCCUAAUGCCAUUCAGCAUCCCUACUGCUGGAUUAAAUUUUUCAUUGCCACCCACAUAUUACCAGUGGACUAUUGCUUUGGUGUAAUUCACAAUGCGCUGUUGUAACGUAAUGUUUUAUUUUAAUUCUUUGAUUUGGGCCAUCUUUAACUCCUAUCCAAUAGAUGAAAGAUUAUCACAGGUGAAACAGUUAUUUCCAAUUGUUUGAUUUGAG